rnacentral:rRNA from 1 species
CGCUAGAGCGUCGUGCCUAUACCGCACCGUCGCCGCAUCGCUUGCGCCCAGGGUGCCAAGCGGCGACGAGUAGGAGGGCCGCUGCGGUGAGCACUGAAGCCUCGGGCGUGAGCCUGGGUGGAGCCGCCGCRGGUGCAGAUCUUGGUGGUAGUAGCAAAUAUUCA